rnacentral:misc_RNA from 1 species
GAAAUUUGCGACACUCGACAAGCGAGUAGCCUUUCACCUUCGCCGCCACGGCGACGAGACGCGGCCGUGGUGUUUGUGGACCGCAGCGAUGGGGCCCGUGAUCGAUCCAGUGCUGAUUUCCGACAAUGUCUAUGACUGGCGUCUGCUCUCUGGCGAUCACUGCGUCUUCGGAUCAACCAUUACGACCCCUGCUGGCGAGCAAAACGAAGCGUUUGUUUACGACGCACGCACCGGAAAAAUGUGGAACAUCCUGGAUGACGUCG